UACGUAGGGGGCAAGCGUUGUCCGGAAUCAUUGGGCGUAAAGCGCGUGUAGGCGGUCCGGUAAGUCGGCUGUGAAAGUCGGGGGCUCAACCCUCGGAUGCCGGUGGAUACUGUCGGGCUUGAGUACGGAAGAGGCGAGUGGAAUUCCUGGUGUAGCGGUGAAAUGCGCAGAUAUCAGGAGGAACACCAAUUGCGAAGGCAGCUCGCUGGGACGUUACUGACGCUGAGACGCGAAAGCCAGGGGAGCAAACGGG
rnacentral:rRNA from 1 species